CAAUAGCGUAUACUAACGUUGUUGCAGUUAAAAGCUCGUAGUUGGAUUUCUGUUACGGUGAGUCGGCCGGCUCUUCGGAGUUGUAGCUAGAUUUCAUUGUAGCAUCUUGACGUAAUUACCACUGGCAUUCAUUUGUUGGUGUGUAGGACCGUCUCGUUUACUUUGAGAAAAUUAGAGUGUUCAAAGCGGGCUAUCGCCUUGAAUAUAUUAGCAUGGAAUAAUAAUAUAGGACUUUUGGUUCUAUUUUGUUGGCGUUCGAGAACCAAAGUAAUGAUUGAUAGGGACAGUUGGGGGCAUCAGUAUUCUGAAGCGAGAGGUGAAAUUCUUGGACCUUCGGAAGACUAACAGCUGCGAAAGCGUUUGCCUAGGAUGUUCUCUUUAAUCAAGAACGAAGGUUGGGGGAUCGAAGACGAUUAGAUACCA
rnacentral:rRNA from 1 species